ACGCUAGCUACAGGCUUAACACAUGCAAGUCGAGGGGCAGCAUGAUCUUAGCUUGCUAAGAUUGAUGGCGACCGGCGCACGGGUGAGUAACGCGUAUCCAACUUCCCCUUAGUAGAGGAUAGCCCGGCGAAAGUCGGAUUAAUACUCUAUGUUGUAUUUUGAGGACAUCUGACGAAUACCAAAGAUUCAUCGCUAAGGGAUGGGGAUGCGUCUGAUUAGCUUGUUGGCGGGGUAACGGCCCACCAAGGCAACGAUCAGUAGGGGUUCUGAGAGGAAGGUCCCCCACAUUGGUACUGAGACACGGACCAAACUCCUACGGGAGGCAGCAGUGAGGAAUAUUGGUCAAUGGUCGAGAGACUGAACCAGCCAAGUAGCGUGCAGGAUGACGGCCCUAUGGGUUGUAAACUGCUUUUAUGCGGGGAUAAAGUGAGGGACGUGUCCCUUUUUGUAGGUACCGCAUGAAUAAGGAACGGCUAAUUCCGUGCC
rnacentral:rRNA from 1 species